CUAGAUGUCAGCAUUUUUGCAGUAUGAUUUUUCAUAACAUGAAUGUAUAUCAGAUAAUAAUGCAGAAUUCCAGAUCACGUUCUGAUAUUAUUAAUUAUAAUCUCUCAAAGUCAGUGUUUUGACAGAAUAAAUAUUCUCAGCUUUGACAGAUCAUUGCAUUGCUUUGCAAAAAUGUAAACAUAAUAAUGUGAAUGUUUGGUACCUGGGCCAAUAAUUACACAAUAUACUGUUUUAUAAAUAGGAUGCAUGAAAAUGCUUAUACAUUGUAUGUAUAGAAAAUAUGCAAGGUUUAUGAACGACUUGCACAUAAAGCUGUAACACAAUGAAUGUGGUUAUGAUUUUUUUUGUAGAUGUCAGUAAAUGAUACCAUUAUAUUAUUCCUCUCAAAAAAGAACUAUGACUAG